CCGACCCUGCAGUGUGCGUGUUGCAACGGAUUUUCUUCCUACAAGCCAAGAAAAGGAAGCCCUCAUCGAUCAGUGGCUCGCAGGCCGCCUCGCAGCGGAUCCGAAAAGCUGAAAGUGGGGCAUCCACCUGUUAAAACAGGGAAGAAAAGCAUCGCAGCACGGCAUAGCGGGGUCUUG
rnacentral:other from 1 species